rnacentral:rRNA from 1 species
AACGAACGCUGGCGGCAGGCUUAACACAUGCAAGUCGAACGCCCCGCAAGGGGAGUGGCAGACGGGUGAGUAACGCGUGGGAACAUACCCUUUCCUGCGGAAUAGCUCUGGGAAACCGGAAUUAAUACCGCAUACGCCCUACGGGGGAAAGAUUUAUCGGGGAAGGAUUGGCCCGCGUUGGAUUAGCUAGGUGGUGGGGUAAAGGCCUACCAAGGCGACGAUCCAUAGCUGGUCUGAGAGGAUGAUCAGCCACAUUGGGACUGAGACACGGCCCUAAAUCCUACGGGAGGCAGCAGUGGGGAAUAUUGGACAAUGGGCGCUAGCCUGAUCCAGCCAUGCCGCGUGAGUGAUGAAGGCCUUAGGGUUGUAAAGCUCUUUCACCGAUGAAGAUAAUGACGGUAGUCGGAGAAGAAGCCCCGGCUAACUUCGUGCCAGCCGCCGCCGUAAGAC